AUUGAACGCUGGCGGCAGGCCUAACACAUGCAAGUCGAGCGAGCGGCGGACGGGUGAGAAAUGUAUGGGGACUGCCCGAUAGAGGGGGAUAACUACUGGAAACGGUAGCUAAUACCGCAUACUAUCGGAUAACCCAUAUGGGAUUAGCUAGUAGGUGUGGUAAUGGCUCACCUAGGCGACGAUCCCUAGCUGGUCUGAGAGGAUGAUCAGCCACACUGGGACGGAGACACGGCCCAGACUCCUACGGAGGCAGCAGUGGGGAAUAUUGGACAAUGGGCGCAAGCCUGAUGCAGCCAUGCCGCGUGUAUGAAGAAGGCCCUAGGGUUGUAAAGUACUUUCAGUCGGGAGGCGUUACCUACAGAAGAAGCACCGGCUAACUCCGUGCCAGCAGCCGCGGUAAUAC
rnacentral:rRNA from 1 species